GAGCCGGCGAGUAAAAUGGAACUUAGGGUGUCUCUCGACAUGCAUGAUUCUUUGUGCAAUACUUUUUAAAAAUUUAAAAUGUGAUUUUCACUAAUUAAGUUUCUAUAAACCAGGAGCGUAUCAGUCCUGUUCAAAUUAGUAUUUUUCAUGAUCUCGGAUAGUUUUAACGCAGGGUUGAUGUGAUUCGUGAUUUUUUUAUUACAAUUUUUUUUCUUGAGGGAAAAGACGGUCGACACCCGUCAUUCGGCUAAGGAGAAGCACUGUACAAAAGGGGAUCAAAGAUUGGUCGCCCCAAAGAAAAACGAAAAGGAAAGAAAGGAAAAGAGCGUGGCCAAGCGAACUAAUCUCCCGGGUCUAAAGAACACGCCCUAAUUCUACCCUGGUACUCCUCCCAAACAAAGUGGACAACCUAAAUCGCCGUGGCCGUGGUCCCCUUGAAGAUCCUUCUAUUGCGUUCCUUCCAAACUCCCCAUCA
rnacentral:lncRNA from 1 species